UACUGUUAGCAGGCCCGAGGAAAUUCUGUAUUGGGCUUUACUAAUGUUUCAUUCUGAUCUUGUGUGAAUUGUAAUCCCCUGGUACUGAACCGUAACUGUGAUGUUAUUGUUGAUUUACUACGGUGAAAAAUGUAACUCAGUUGUUAACUUAUUCUUUUUCUCUUUAUUAUGAACCCAAAGUUUAUUUGUGAUUUGUAGUAAAGAUUAGGCCUAUGAUUAUUCUAUGAAACAAAGCUUCUUUUGUGUAAUUUGUAAUGAAUAUUUGAAUCUUUGGAUGUAAUGAAUAUUUGGUUGGUUGUUGAUAUUUGGCAUACAGGAAAAUAGAGCAAAUGGAUGACUACAAGGUUUUAGCGACUAUUGGACCGUCCUCAUUAUCUAUUUUUUCGUUUGCUGGUGUUGGGCUGAUGGUGUUGAGCAUGAUCAUCGAGAACAAGGGUUGAAGGCUGCUUUCGUUCAAAAGUUGAUAUUAUCAACCAUAUUCGAGGAAAUAUGAUCAUAGAAUUUAAUUUAGUCGCGUAUUAUAUGGUGAUGAUAAUGGUGAAUCGAUUCCUUUCCAUUUUCAAGUGAUUUGAUGAACUUGCAGAUUAUUUGAAUCCAUUCCACGCACAUGAUGAGGGAAUCUUACAUGGCGGUUGAUUUGGUCGGGGCGGCGCCGAAAUAUUUGACUCAACUUGUGGUGACUUUGGAGCAGGAAUGAGUCUGGGCAAGGGCAGUAACCAUGGAUGAUGGUAUUCGCCGCCGAUGAGUCCACAAUAGGAAAGGUUACUGAUGUGUUCCAACAUGCAUCCUCGGUUGGUAUGUUAGUCUGUAGGACUUGGGCCUUCAAUGAUGGACAAUGGAGAGCCCUUAAGAAAUCUCCAUCUAUUUAUGAUCAAGAGGUGUUCAAGGCUCUGGAUUUUUUAGGAGUGAAGCAUAAUAUCUCAAGUGGGGUCGGUGAUCCCGUUGCAGAUCACAAGUGUUGGAAUAAACCUGAGUCAAUUACCGAGGAACGACCUCUCUUACAAGUGAGAACAUCCUCUCCCGGACCAGAUGUUGCAGGUGGAACUGCAGCAGCCAUGGCAUCAGAGUCUUUGGUUUUCAAAAAGACGAAUUCUACAUAUUUAAGCAAUCUCCUCAAGCAUGGCAUCAGAUACUAUUGUGCCGCUAUUUGGAGAAUAUAUUUGUCGAUUGUAUAGUUCCUAACUCUAACAGUAACCAUCCAACCUCGGAAACAAGGAUAUAAACAUUCAUACUGCAAAAAGGUGCUGGAUUGAUGGUGUUGAGCAGGAUCAUCGAGAACAAGGGUUGAAGGUUGUUUUUGUUCAAAAGUUGAUAUUAUCAACCAUAUUCGAGGAAAUAUGCUCAUAGAAUUUAAUUUAGUCGCCUAAGUCAUGGAUUAGUUACAGCUUCUUACAUAUUCAGAUAGUCUAUGUAUUGUGUUGCUGGUCCACAAGGCACUGGGUUUUAUUGCGGUGGUUCUGUUUAGGAUGUGAAGUCGUAUAAGCAAUAGUUAUAUUGAGGCCAAAUGUAUUUCAGGACUCUGUCAAUUUAAGUGUGAUUUUUCGGUAACUCCAUUGAAGAUUGCUUUAAAUCUACUUUACUACAGCUUAUUGAGAGCAUGGUAACAUUGAGAGAUUGCACAGCCUGCAAGUUGUACCAAGUAAGUAGCAUUUGAACUAUCAAUGAUUAAAUGUUUUUUGCAUCUCUUUCCAGGAACUCCAACUUCUGCUGCUACUUCUUUGAUAGGACCAGAUGGAAAUGUCAUCUUAUGUCGAGGUUUUGUUUUAGGUGUAAAUUCUAUAAUUGGUAACUGCAGUCAUGGAUUAAUACACAAGAAUUAAGUGUCAGUAUCAUAAAGAUAUCUUUAUAGGUACUUAGUAUAUCAUUCCAAUGGUAAUGUACCUGAGGUUUAGAAGUAUGUGAUCCCUGAUUUGCAGAAUUAAGGGUUACUUUUUAUAAUUAUUCUUUUCUGAUUCUCUUGGUGAACCUGUUAGGAAAUUCGGUUAGUCAUUUUCUCUAUCUUCAAGUUUCUGUUUAACCGUUAGUUAUGGACUAUGCAGCUUGGUUUUUGAAUCGGUUUCCUCUUGCAGAAUUUAUGUCGGUCAGCUUAUUGAAGGGAGUUCAUUUCGGUUCAGAUUGAAUUUGAGGAAAUAGGAGAGU